UAGAUAGUGACUAUCGAGUCGGGUUUUGCAUUUUGUUAGUAGCCACCGUAUACCUUCUUUUGUAUUGAAGAUGAUUAUGUAUAAAGCAAAUGAGAAAAAGAAUGUAAUGUUUAUUUUGGGCAAAUAUGAUGUAAAAGAAGUAAUGCAAGCAAUGUAAAGAAUAAUGAAUAUGAAGGUUAAAUGCAAUGUAUGUGAUCAAAAGUUGAAUCAUAGUACUUGUAUAGUUGU
rnacentral:lncRNA from 1 species